rnacentral:rRNA from 1 species
GACGAACGCUGGCGGCGUGCUUAACACAUGCCAGUCGAACGGAAAGGCCCUUCGGGGUACUCGAGAGGCGAACGGGUGAGUAACACGUGGGUGAUCUGCCCUGCACUUUGGGAUAAGCCUGGGAAACUGGGUCUAAUACCGAAUAGGACCACGCGCUUCAUGGUGUGUGGUGGAAAGCUUUUGCGGUGUGGGAUGGGCCCGCGGCCUAUCAGCUUGUUGGUGGGGUAAUGGCCUACCAAGGCGACGACGGGUAGCCGGCCUGAGAGGGUGACCGGCCACACUGGGACUGAGAUACGGCCCAGACUCCUACGGGAGGCAGCAGUGGGGAAUAUUGCACAAUGGGCGCAAGCCUGAUGCAGCGACGCCGCGUGAGGGAUGACGGCCUUCGGGUUGUAAACCUCUUUCACCAGGGACGAAGCGUAAGUGACGGUACCUGGAGAAGAAGCACCGGCCAACUACGUG